rnacentral:rRNA from 1 species
AGAGUUUGAUCCUGGCUCAGGAUGAACGCUAGCGGGAGGCUUAACACAUGCAAGUCGAGGGGCAACAUGAUCUUCGGAUCGAUGGCGACCGGCGCACGGGUGAGUAACGCGUAUGCAACCUACCUUUUACAGAGGAAUAGCCCAGAGAAAUUUGGAUUAAUACCUUAUAGUACAUAGAGACCGCAUGGUUUUUAUGUUAAAGUUUCGGCGGUAAAAGAUGGGCAUGCGUGACAUUAGAUUGUUGGCGGGGUAACGGCCCACCAAGUCUGCGAUGUCUAGGGGUUCUGAGAGGAUGAUCCCCCACACUGGUACUGAGACACGGACCAGACUCCUACGGGAGGCAGCAGUGAGGAAUAUUGGUCAAUGGGCGCAAGCCUGAACCAGCCAUCCCGCGUGAAGGAAGACUGCCCUAUGGGUUGUAAACUUCUUUUAUGUACCAAGAAUGGCUCCUACGUGUAGGAGUUUGACGGUAGUACAUGAAUAAGCAUCGGCUAACUCCGUGCCAGCAGCCGCGGUAAUACGGAGGAUGCGAGCGUUAUCCGGAUUCAUUGGGUUUAAAGGGUGCGUAGGCGGCUUAUUAAGUCAGUGGUGAAAUCCUGCAGCUUAACUGUAGAACUGCCAUUGAAACUGAUAAGCUUGAAUAUAGUUGAGGUAGGCGGAAUGAGUAGUGUAGCGGUGAAAUGCUUAGAUAUUACUCAGAACACCGAUUGCGAAGGCAGCUUACUAAACUAUCAUUGACGCUGAUGCACGAAAGCGUGGGGAUCGAACAGGAUUAGAUACCCUGGUAGUCCACGCCGUAAACGAUGUUCACUCGCUGUAUGCAAUACACCGUAUGCGGCCAAGCGAAAGUAUUAAGUGAACCACCUGGGGAGUACGUCGGCAACGGUGAAACUCAAAGGAAUUGACGGGGGCCCGCACAAGCGGAGGAACAUGUGGUUUAAUUCGAUGAUACGCGAGGAACCUUACCUGGGCUUAAAUGUAGAUUGCAUGUGGUGGAAACACCCUUCUCUUCGGAGCUAUUUACAAGGUGCUGCAUGGUUGUCGUCAGCUCGUGCCGUGAGGUGUCGGGUUAAGUCCCAUAACGAGCGCAACCCCUAUCGUUAGUUGCCAUCAGGUCAUGCUGGGGACUCUAGCGAGACUGCCACCGUAAGGUGAGAGGAAGGUGGGGAUGACGUCAAAUCAGCACGGCCCUUAUGUCCAGGGCUACACACGUGUUACAAUGGCAAGUACAAAGGGCAGCUACACCGCGAGGUGAUGCUAAUCUCUAAAGCUUGUCUCAGUUCGGAUCGGAGUCUGCAACUCGACUCCGUGAAGUUGGAUUCGCUAGUGAUCGGAUAUCAGCCAUGAUCCGGUGAAUACGUUCCCGGGCCUUGUACAGACCGCCGUCAAACCAUGGAAGCUGGGGGGACCUGAAGUCUGUCACCGAAAGGAGCGGCCUAGGGUAAAACCGGUAACUGGGGUUAAGUCGGAACAAGGUA